CAGCCUGCUGCUCGUUUGGAUAAAGUUAAUUACAGCGAAGAUUAAAAUCUGCAGUGCUUGAUUGGUGUUGUUGAGACUCAGAGAAUCACACUGUCCUCGGAGAGCGACUUGCCAGCUCUGCACCCCUCCUCUUAGGUGUUCACGGCCUGUUUCCUCACCCAAGAGGGAAGCUGGGCUGUCAGUAAGUCUCCUGCAGUGGGCUCCCUGCAUUUUCUUUGCUCUGGUCAUGGGUGUAGUACACAUGGCAGGGAGAAGCAUUUUAUCCGAAGGUUUCUUUUACUCACUCGAGGAACCACUGAAGAACAUGGAGUGCAAACUCAUAUUACUUCACAUCUCCAAAUCCUGUCACCUUUAAAUCAGUGCUUGUUAAUAAUACAGUGGCUGGUCUCCAGUUCUUCCCCUUGCAGUGAGACUUUUUUGUUUGCAAGAGAAAAGCAUAAUGGAUCAGACGUUUGAGAUCCAUUGCCUUUGGAGUACUGGAUUUCAAGACUUUAAUGUUGUAUAAACCGAAAGGCUUAUGCUGAGUAUGUAUACUGGACUUGUGGACAACAUGAUGUCUAUUAAAAAUGAAGGGCAAAUAACAAUGUCAACCUCGAAGCACAAAGUAGAUAAGCCUUUUCGACAUGGCUAUGAUAGGACAGUGUGCACUAGACUGAUGAAAUGUGACAUUGCCACUCAGUCAAGUGAAGCAACAAUAUCAUGCCAAUACUAACAGGGAGCAGAUUCAUAGAUCACAAAUCAAUAUCAAUUUGGAUGUCACCAAGUCUGACAUCCUACUGGAGAUGAAGAACUUCGCUGAGCAGAUCCUUCCUGAACAGAAGAAAAAGGUCCUUUCACCUGCUAACACACUUCCCUGCUGUCAAGAGGGAAGCUGAGAUGGUGCUACUAAAUCCCAGCAACUCCAAUGAUUACACAGACAUGAAAUGAAACUAUUCCAUGAUUUCCACUCCUGUGUGCAAGACAGACAUACCGGUGCCUGUCCAAUCUUCACCAGUCACUGAGUCCUAUGCUUUUGCCAGUGCUUGUACACCUCUGCUGAGACUUCCCACCAGUAACAUUCCACAACAAAAAGUGGCACCUGGAAACUGGCAAAUUACUCCCCUGUCCGUCCAUGACAGCAGAAGCUACCCACAGAAAUGGAGGGACUGGGUAAUCAAGAGACUGGUACUGUGUGAAUGAGCUAAUCAGCUUCCUGCUCUCCAGAGAACACGUUGUUCAGUGAUCACCCACAGCCAGAGAAACCAACCAAGUCUGAUGCAUCAAACUGCUUCAAAUUAAAGACUCAAGUAGAUUGUUCCAUCAUCUGUUCAAAUAUAUGGCUUGCUGAAACAUACUCUUCCAACCAAACCUAGCUGUCAGUCAAGUGGUAAAGUAUAUAGUAGGACUUUUUGACCACACUAACCACUGAAGCUCAGAUGCCUUCCUCCAUGGCACCCUGUAUGCUCACUGGGGCCUGGGAUUCUCCCAAGACAUAACUGCUGCAUAACAGCUGCCGCUACCAUUAGCUACAUUUGUUAUUAAGAAGUACCUUUUUUCUUUCUUUUUUCUUUUUUUUUUUUUCUAUUUUUCUUUUUCAUUUGUGUGUGUUUCUGGGAUGGAAUGACAAUCUUCUACAAAUGCAGAAGAGACACCUUCUACCCUCACUCCCAUUUGGGACAGAUGUUUGCUGUAGUGAAUAUACAUGACACCUUUAUGAAACAUUUAUGUCAAGGAUUCCAUAUCAUGCUAAGCUUCUUGUACUAUUUAACCCAUCUGUCAUUAAAAGUAUCUUUGAAACAUAGUUUGAUAGAAGUCUAAAAAAUACAAUGCCUGGAUUUUUAGAAAUCAAAAUUUACCAUGUAAUAGUCCACAGUAUCAAGUGCACUUUUGUAAUCUGAAAAUUAAAUACAUAUCUUUUUCAGCCUUUUCAAUAGAAUAUUAUUUUGACAUGUUUUUCUACCACCUUACCUUGUUGGAAAUACGCAGAAGUCAUGUACUUAUGUACAUAAUAAACAGAAUAAAAAUAAACA